GACGAACGCUGGCGGCGUGCUUAACACAUGCAAGUCGAACGGAAAGGCCCUGCUUUUGUGGGGUGCUCGAGUGGCGAACGGGUGAGUAACACGUGAGUAACCUGCCCUUGACUUUGGGAUAACUUCAGGAAACUGGGGCUAAUACCGGAUAUGAGCUCCUGCUGCAUGGUGGGGGUUGGAAAGUUUCGGCGGUUGUGGAUGGACUCGAGGGUUAUCAGCUUGUUGGUGGGGUAGUGGCUUACCAAGGCAUUGACGGGUAGCCGGCCUGAGAGGGUGACCGGGCACAUUGGGACUGAGGUAGGGCCCAGACGCAUACGGGAGGCAGCGGUGGAAAAUAUUGCACAAUGGGCCGAAGCCUGAUACAGCAGCGCCGGGUGCGGGAUGACGGUCUUCGGGGUGUAAACCGCUUUAGCCUGUGACGAAGCGUGAGUGACGGUAAUGGCUAAAGAAGCACCGGCUAACUACGUG
rnacentral:rRNA from 1 species